UUGCAUCUUGAUUUAAUUUUGAACGAGUGGCGGACGGGUGAGUAACACGUGGGUAACCUGCCCUUAAGUGGGGGAUAACAUUUGGAAACAGAUGCUAAUACCGCAUAAAUCCAAGAACCGCAUGGUUCUUGGCUGAAAGAUGGCGUAAGCUAUCGCUUUUGGAUGGACCCGCGGCGUAUUAGCUAGUUGGUGAGGUAACGGCUCACCAAGGCAAUGAUACGUAGCCGAACUGAGAGGUUGAUCGGCCACAUUGGGACUGAGACACGGCCCAAACUCCUACGGGAGGCAGCAGUAGGGAAUCUUCCACAAUGGACGCAAGUCUGAUGGAGCAACGCCGCGUGAGUGAAGAAGGCUUUCGGGUCGUAAAACUCUGUUGUUGGAGAAGAAUGGUCGGCAGAGUAACUGUUGUCGGCGUGACGGUAUCCAACCAGAAAGCCACGGCUAACUACGUGCCAGCAGCCGCGGUAAUACGUAGGUGGCAAGCGUUAUCCGGAUUUAUUGGGCGUAAAGCGAGCGCAGGCGGUUUUUUAAGUCUGAUGUGAAAGCCCUCGGCUUAACCGAGGAAGUGCAUCGGAAACUGGGAAACUUGAGUGCAGAAGAGGACAGUGGAACUCCAU
rnacentral:rRNA from 2 species